GAUGAACGCUAGCGGCAGGCCUAAUACAUGCAAGUCGAACGGUGGCAGCAAUGUCAUAGUGGCGCACGGGUGCGUAACACGUAACUAACCUACCCAUCAUUGGGGGAUAGCCCGCCGAAAGGCGGAUUAAUACCGCAUAAGACAAUAGAAGGGCAUCCUUUAGUUGUUAAAGAUUUAUUGAUGAUGGAUGGGGUUGCGGGUCAUUAGCUAGUUGGUAAGGUAACGGCUUACCAAGGCGACGAUGACUAGGGGAGCUGAGAGGCUGGUCCCCCACACGGGCACUGAGAUACCGGGCCUACUCCUACGGGAGGCAGCACUAGGGAAUAUUGGGCCAUGGGCGAGAGUCUGACCCAGCCAUGCCGCGUGCAUGAAGAAGGCUUUCUGAGUCGUAAACUGCUUUUGACACGGAAGAAUAAGCACUACGUGUAUUGUGAUGACGGUCACGCGCAUAAUGCGCACCCCCUAACUUCGUGCCAGCAGUCCGCGUUGCUCCCAUGCUGCCGAGGAUCGUCCAGAUUUAUCGGUUUUAACGGGGUCGUAGGCGGCCCGUUAGUCCGGGGUGAAGCCCGUUGCUCACAACGGAACUGCCCUGGAUACUGGCGGGCUUGAGUACAGACGAGGUUGGCGGAAUGGACUGAGUAGCGGUGAAAUGCAUAGAUACAGUCCAGAACCCCGAUUGCGAAGGCAGCUGACUAGGCUGUUACUGACGCUGAGGCACGACAGCGUGGGGAGCGAACAGGAUUAGAUACCCUGGUAGUCCACGCCGUAAACGAUGGAUACUCGCUGCGAGCUAAAGAUUGUUCGUGGCUUAGGGAAACCGAUAAGUAUCCCACCUGGGGAGUACGCCGGCAACGGUGAAACUCAAAGGAAUUGACGGGGGCCCGCACAAGUGGUGGAGCAUGUGGUUUAAUUCGAUGAUACGCGAGGAACCUUACCUAGGCUAGAAUGCGCGUGACCGGCUCAGAGAUGAGCCUUUCCUUCGGGACACAAAGCAAGGUGCUGCAUGGCCGUCGUCAGCUCGUGCCGUGAGGUGUUGGGUUAAGUCCCGCAACGAGCGCAACCCCUAUGUUUAGUUGCCAGCACGUAAUGGUGGGGACUCUAGACAGACUGCCUGCGCAAGCAGUGAGGAAGGCGGGGACGACGUCAGGUCAUCAUGGCCCUUACGCCUAGGGCGACACACGUGCUACAAUGGACGGUACAGCGGGUAGCUACACAGCGAUGUGAUGCCAAUCUCGAAAAGCCGUUCUCAGUUCGGAUCGGAGUCUGCAACUCGACUCCGUGAAGCUGGAAUCACUAGUAAUCGCGCAUCAGCCAUGGCGCGGUGAAUACGUUCCCGGGCCU
rnacentral:rRNA from 1 species